UGUACGGUACCAGCUUCCAGCCACACUAUCUUCCAUUCAAAACUCUCCUCCAGAUCUCCUUCAUUUAAAUUUUCCUCAAAAAUGUUUUCUAUCCAAUUCUGCUGUGUAUCAUGAAGCUUCAAAUCUCCCAAACUAGUCUCCUCCUCUCUGCCACCCCUCCUCUCCUCCUAUCUCGUGAAGCUUCAGAAACACGGACACUGCGGACGUGGAUGUCGGGAGGCAGCCAGUGGACCUUCACACGCCGACAGGUGGGGGCGUGAGGAGCUGUUGGUGCUGUAGCCCGGGUUGCCACACAUUGGUGACAUGAAGACAGAAACAUCAGUACAUUUAGGAGGAAGAAUGAACACCAACAGAUUAACAGGAAGAGGAAGAAUGAAGGAAAACACUCGUAUUCACAGAAGAGAGAGAAUGAACACAGAGAUACACAGGAUAGGGAAUGAAAGAAGCCUCACAGAUUUACCACAGGAGGAAAUAAGACCAGCAGAUUAACAGCAAAACAGCAAGAGGAGGAAUGAAGGAUAACUCUUGCAUUCAUAGGAGGAGGAGGAAGAAGAAUGAAGACCAAGAGAUUCACCGUCACAGGAGGAAAGAAAAUCCUUAUAUUCACAGCAAUAGUAAUAACAAAGACCCACAAAUAUUCACAGCAAAACCUCCAAGAUUAACUUCAACACAGCAUGGCAAGAUACAAGACUACACCAGCUGGCCAGACACUCACAAAAGCAACAGGACUUCAAACUUCCCUCACAGAUGCUGACAUCAACAUGAGUAAGGCAUGUCAUCAACAGCUGAGUGGGUAAAUGAUACAAGAUGAUUGAGACUUGGUGCAGUAUUGAGUGAUUGUGUAGUGUGAAAAGAGAAUGAGAGAAGGAAGAGUGUAGAGAGAUUAAAAUGAAGGUGGAGAUGAUUUUGUGGACUUAUGAAUGAUUGUUGUCUAAAUAGGAGAGAAUGAAAGAUGGAGAAGGAAGAUGACAAGGAGGAGGAAUGAUUGUUGUCCAAAUACAGGGGAUGAGAGAUUGAGAAGGAAGAGGAGAUCAUAAACAUAGAUAGUUUCAGGUCGGAAUGAUAGGAACUUAGUUGAUUUAGUGAAGCAUUGACUGAGAGAGAGAGAGAGAGAGAGAGAGAGAGAGAGAGAGAGAGA